rnacentral:rRNA from 1 species
UACGUAGGGGGCAAGCGUUGUCCGGAUUUAUUGGGCGUAAAGAGCGUGUAGGCGGCCUGGAAGGUCAGCUGUGAAAACUCGAGGCUCAACCUCGAGACGUCGGUUGAAACCACCUGGCUAGAGUCCGGAAGAGGAGAGUGGAAUUCCCGGUGUAGCGGUGAAAUGCGCAGAUAUCGGGAAGAACACCCGUGGCGAAGGCGGCUCUCUAGUACGGUACUGACGCUGAGACGCGAAAGCGUGGGGAGCGAACAGG